rnacentral:rRNA from 1 species
CAUGCAAGUUGAACGCAACAAAGACACCAGUAGCUUGCUCUACCGUCUUUGUUGAGUAGCGAACGUGUGAGUAACGCGUGGGUAACCUGCCUUAUAGCGGGGGGAUAACUAUUGGAAACGAUAGCUAAUACCGCAUAACAAUAGAGAUUGCAUAAUCUUUAUUUGAAAGUGCCAACUGGUACACUAUGAGAUGGACCCGCGUUGUAUUAGCUAGUUGGUAGUGUAAUGGACUACCAAGGCGAUGAUACAUAGCCGACCUGAGAGGGUGAUCGGCCACAUUGGGACUGAGACACGGCCCAAACUCCUACGGGAGGCGGCAGUAGGGAAUCUUCGGCAAUGGACGAAAGUCUGACCGAGCAACGCCGCGUGAGUGAAGAAGGUUUUCGGAUCGUAAAACUCUGUUGUUAGAGAAGAAUGUUGAUUAGAGUGGAAAAUUAAUCAAGUGACGGUAUCUAACCAGAAAGGGACGGCUAACUACGUG